rnacentral:tRNA from 1 species
GUCGUUAGCUCAGUUGGUAGAGCAGUUGGCUUUUAACCAAUUGGUCGUAGGUUCGAAUCCUACACGACCCACCA